CCAAGGAGUCUAACAUGUGCGCGAGUCAUUGGGCGGCAAACCCAAAGGCGGAAUGAAAGUGAAGGGAAGCCCUGCUUUCUGAGGGAGGAUGGGCGUGACAUGCCGACACGGCGGCGCCCCGCACUCCCAGGGCGUCUCACACUCAUUGCGAGUGGAGGCGCACCUAGAGCGCCCACGUUAGGACCCGAAAGAUGGUGAACUAUGCCUGGUGAGGACGAAGCCAGGGGAAACCCUGGUGGAGGUCCGUAGCGAUUCUGACGUGCAAAUCGAUCGUCGGAGCUGGGUAUAGGGGCGAAAGACUAAUCGAACCAUCUAGUAGCUGG
rnacentral:rRNA from 1 species